rnacentral:rRNA from 1 species
GAUGGACGCUGGCGGCGUGCCUAAUACAUGCAAGUCGAGCGAACAGACGAGGAGCUUGCUCCUCUGACGUUAGCGGCGGACGGGUGAGUAACACGUGGAUAACCUACCUAUAAGACUGGGAUAACUUCGGGAAACCGGAGCUAAUACCGGAUAAUAUAUUGAACCGCAUGGUUCAAUAGUGAAAGACGGUUUUGCUGUCACUUAUAGAUGGAUCCGCGCCGCAUUAGCUAGUUGGUAAGGUAACGGCUUACCAAGGCGACGAUGCGUAGCCGACCUGAGAGGGUGAUCGGCCACACUGGAACUGAGACACGGUCCAGACUCCUACGGGGGGCAGCAGUAGGGAAUCUUCCGCAAUGGGCGAAAGCCUGACGGAGCAACGCCGCGUGAGUGAUGAAGGUCUUCGGAUCGUAAAACUCUGUUAUUAGGGAAGAACAAAUGUGUAAGUAACUAUGCACGUCUUGACGGUACCUAAUCAGAAAGCCACGGCUAACUACGUG